rnacentral:SRP_RNA from 1 species
GCCGGACGCGGUGGCGCGCACCUGUAGUCCCAGCUACUCGGGAGGCUGAGAUGGGAGGAUCGCUUGAGCCCAGGAGUUCUGGGCUGUAGUGCGCUAUGCCGAUCGGGUGUCCGCACUAAGUUCGGCAUCAAUAUGGUGACCUCCCGGGAGCGGGGGACCACCAGGUUGCCUAAGGAGGGGUGAACCGGCCCAGGUCGGAAACGGAGCAGGUCAAAACUCCGUGCUGAUCAGUAGUGGGAUCGCGCCUGUGAAUAGCCACUACACUCCAGGAGCCUGGGCAACAUAGCGAGACCCCGUCUCU